UAGGGAAUCUUCGGCAAUGGACGAAAGUCUGACCGAGCAACGCCGCGUGAGUGAAGAAGGUCUUCGGAUCGUAAAACUCUGUUGUUAGAGAAGAACAAGGACGUUAGUAACUGAACGUCCCCUGACGGUAUCUAACCAGAAAGCCACGGCUAACUACGUGCCAGCAGCCGCGGUAAUACGUAGGUGGCAAGCGUUGUCCGGAUUUAUUGGGCGUAAAGCGAGCGCAGGCGGUUUCUUAAGUCUGAUGUGAAAGCCCCCGGCUCAACCGGGGAGGGUGAUUGGAAACUGGGAUACUUGAGUGCAGAAGAGGAGAGUGGAAUUCCAUGUGUAGCGGUGAAAUGCGUAGAUAUAUGGAAGAAAACCAGUGGCGAAGGCGGCUCUCUGGUCUGUAACUGACGCUGAGGCUCGAAAGCGUGGGGAGCAAACAGG
rnacentral:rRNA from 1 species